AGUGAACGCUGGCGGCGUGCUUAACACAUGCAAGUCGAACGAGAACGGGUUAUAGCUUGCUAUAAUUGUCAGCUAAGUGGCGCACGGGUGAGUAAUGUAUAGGUAAUAUGCCUCUUACUAAGGGAUAACAAAUGGAAACGUUUGCUAAUACCUUAUACUCCUUAUUAACAGAAGUUAAUAAGGGAAAGAUUUAUUGGUAAGAGAUUAGCCUGUAUUGUAUCAGUUAGUUGGUGAGGUAAUGGCUUACCAAGACUAUGACACAUAACUGGUUUGAGAGGCUGAUCAGUCACACUGGAACUGAGACACGGUCCAGACUCCUACGGGAGGCAGCAGUGGGGAAUAUUGCACAAUGGACGAAAGUCUGAUGCAGCAACGCCGCGUGGAGGAUGACACACUUCGGUGCGUAAACUCCUUUUAUAUGAGAAGAUAAUGACGGUAUUAUAUGAAUAAGCACCGGCUAACUCCGUGCCAGCCGCCGCGGUAA
rnacentral:rRNA from 1 species